rnacentral:rRNA from 1 species
ACUACGCCUCAUGAAGCUGGAGUUACUAGUAAUCGCAGAUCAGAAUGCUGCGGUGAAUGCGUUCCCGGGUCUUGUACACACCGCCCGUCACACCACGGAAGUUGGGGCGCCCGAAGCCACUUAGCUAACCCUUUUGGGAAGCGAGUGUCGAAGGUGAAAUCAAUAACUGGGGUGAAGUCGUAACAAGGUACC